AGGGAGCGCCGCAUCUUAGGCUGUAUCCCCAGCACCCUGGGCUCCAGGGCCUGUGCUGCUGGGAUUGCGUCCAGGGGCCACGCAGCACCCU
rnacentral:pre_miRNA from 1 species